rnacentral:rRNA from 1 species
AACGAACGCUGGCGGCAGGCCUAACACAUGCAAGUCGAGCGCGCCCUUCGGGGUGAGCGGCGGACGGGUGGGUAACGCGUGGGAACGUGCCCUUUUCUACGGAAUAGCCUCGGGAAACUGAGAGUAAUACCGUAUACGCCCUUUGGGGGAAAGAUUUAUCGGAAAAGGAUCGGCCCGCGUUGGAUUAGGUAGUUGGUGGGGUAAUGGCCUACCAGGCCGACGAUCCAUAGCUGGUUUGAGAGGAUGAUCAGCCACACUGGGACUGAGACACGGCCCAGACUCCUACGGGAGGCAGCAGUGGGGAAUCUUAGACAAUGGGGGCAACCCUGAUCGAGCCAUGCCGCGUGAGUGAUGAAGGCCUUAGGGUUGUAAAGCUCUUUCAGCUGGGAAGAUAAUGACGGUACCAGCAGAAGAAGCCCCGGCUAACUCCGUG